rnacentral:rRNA from 1 species
AACGAACGCUGGCGGCAGGCCUAACACAUGCAAGUCGAACGCACCGCAAGGUGAGUGGCGCACGGGUGAGUAACACGUGGGAAUGUAUCCUUUGGUUCGGAAUAACGUCUGGAAACGGACGCUAAUACCGGAUGAGCCCUUAGGGGGAAAGAUUUAUCGCCGAAGGAGCAGCCCGCGUCUGAUUAGGUAGUUGGUGGGGUAAAGGCCUACCAAGCCGACGAUCAGUAGCUGGUCUGAGAGGAUGAUCAGCCACACUGGGACUGAGACACGGCCCAGACUCCUACGGGAGGCAGCAGUGGGGAAUAUUGGACAAUGGGCGCAAGCCUGAUCCAGCCAUGCCGCGUGAGUGAUGAAGGCCUUCGGGUUGUAAAGCUCUUUCGCACACGACGAUGAUGACGGUAGUGUGAGAAGAAGCCCCGGCUAACUUCGUGCCAGCAGCCGCCGUAAUAC